rnacentral:lncRNA from 1 species
GUUACUUAAACAUGUCUUUUGAUCCCUGCUGAUUAGCAGAGGUUGGUACAAUUUUCAGACCUUGAGGAUUGCAGCACUGAAGGUAUAAUUUCAUGACCACAUGCAGUAUAUAUUCCACCAAUGCAUCAGAUUCCUCAAAUUGGCCACUGACAAUACCUCUCCCUUAAUUUAAGUGAACACGUCUUGGUCUAAAAAAAUAUAAAGCAGUUUAAUUAUUAUCUAA